rnacentral:tRNA from 1 species
GCGGUUGUAGCUCAGCAGGUAGCGCGACGUCGCCAACGUCGAGGUCGCCGGUUCGAAACCGGCCAGCCGCUCCA